UCUACCUCCCCUCCGAGUAUCUGCAUUUAGGUCCUGUUUCUUGUUACCACUUGCACUUGUUGCCUGCUUCUUCCACCACAGUGAGUUUCACAUCAGAAGUGAAAUCAUGAAGCAAACAAACAUGUGAUAUAACACGGUGAAAGACAGCAUGAAUUAAUCCAGUCAAAUGCCAGUUUUGGUCUCCCCACCAUCGACCUCCUUGGACACUGAAUCAACAAACACAGGGCAACACUCCUACCAUCAAAGUAGUGAUAGAUGGACUCUUCAUACACACCUUAAUGAGCUGUCCAUCUCCUGUACCAAUGAAGAAAACCAUCCAUGUCUUCUGCCUCACUGCCAGCACAGAGGUCAUGUAGGGCUGCCUGAAGAGAACUGCCUCUGGUUU